UGCCCCAGAUGACAUAAUUUAGUUAGGUUUGAACCCUGGAGGAGAAACAUUGGUUCAGAGAGAGGGCCUUCGUUGACUUGGGAAUGGAAGUGAGGACAAUCUAAAGGGUGAAGCACCUUAGCAGGUAGCUAAGGAGGGCAGCAAACUCAUGGACUGGGUCUUGGUCGCCUCUGAAGCCACUGAGAGCAGAGCUGGCUCUGAGAACCAGAGGAGGUCCCCUGUCUGGAUGCCACAGGCCAAAGUCAUGGUGUUAAAUAAGGAUCUCUGUACUCAGAUGUCUUCCAGGAGACAGAGGACACCGGCAGUUUGAAGUGCCUGGACCAACAAAAUGCAAUCCAUGGAAUCUAAAAGCUGCUAGAUUGAACCAGACGUGGGCGAAUAUCAAGGUUAAGUUUCUGUGUCACAUUCACAGAAAUAGAGGCCAGGAGCAACAUUACAUUUUCUGAUGGAGAAAUAAACAACACAAUUACAUUUUAAUGGUUUAUUUAUUUAUUUGAAAGAGUUAUACAGAGAGAGGAGAGGUAGAGAGAAAGAGAGAGAGAGAGGACUUCCAUCUGUUGGUUCACUCCCCAGUUGACCACAACAGUCAGAGCUGCAUUGAUCUGAAGCCAAGAGCCUGGAGCUUCUUCCAGGUCUCCCACACAGGUGCAAGGGUCCAAGGGCUUGGGCCAUCUUCUACUGCUUUCCCAGGCCAUAGCAGAGAGCUGGAUUAGAAGUGGAGUAGCCAGGACUCAAACCAGCGCCCAUAUGGGAUGCCGGCACUGCAGGUGGUUGCUUCACCCACUACGCCAACAGCACCAGCCCCAACACCAAUACAUUUUGCCUCACUGGGUUAAGCAGUCCGCAGCCGAUUAAAAAAAAGAAGAAGAAGAAAAAACAGUACCUACUCCAAGGAUGGUCAACAGUGGAUGAAGACUGGAUUUCAUUUUCUCAUAACCCGGCCCCUUAGUAACCACAAGAGCCCAGGUCUCGCCGGCGUUAACCUAUCCGGAAAGUGUACGCCUGCAACUGGUGCCGUGACUCGGAUCACUGCGACGCGGAAAGAAGGAAGAAAAAAAUCCAAUCUGGACUCCAGAAAGACGGACAAGAACAAUAGAGUGGCAAGAUGAUCGUGAUCCUACUCCUACUAAUAAUGACGCCACUGUCACCGACGAUGGCCAAGCUGGAUGAGUAUUGGGGUCUCUUGAGAGCCCUACCUCUCCCUCUCCAGUUGUGUAUUUGCCUGAGAAGGACUUCUCUAUGGCCGUUCAACACAGGAGAGACUUUGGAGUCACCGUGGUCGUCGUUGCAGUAAUUGCGGAGUUAUCAGCUUGUUAGGCCGCUAUUGGCAUGGCCGUGAGCCAAACCUCCACACUGUCCACACUUGAUAGCAUCACAAGAUCUACCGCCCAGGCACUUGAUGGUAUACUACUAUUCAGCUGUUAAUGAACGGAUUUAUUGCAAGAUUAGGCCUGGUUGGCAUACCCUGUGUUAUUCGAUCUACUGCAGUUUGUGUUCCCGUCUUUUGGGUAGCAUGUUAAUAACAGGAUCAAUUAUUGUUCGGAUCUUGCAAGGGCUGUUAAUACGCAAAUGGUGGUUAAACAAGCCAGCUAAUAUUCAAUAACCAGUACCCCAUGCAAAAUGGACAGAUUCAGGUGUGGCUGAAUCUGCUGGAAUGGUAGUCAAAGACGGGUAAGUUCUGAGAGGUCUUCAAGGCAACCUAAGACAGGGCAUGAACGCUCCCUCCACACCUCAUGUUCAUGUGCCAAUGACGGGUAAGCCUGAUAGAUGCUCUUGGUCACCUAAGACAGGCACAGUACCACUCCAUUUUGCAAAGAAAUAAGGGGGAGAUGUCGGGGAACGGGACAGCCUGGCCAGCUGUGCCGCUCCCGACAAGAAGUUUAGUGCUGGGCUUUUUCCACCCUGCCCGUUGCUAAUUGCAAGAUCCUGUUUUGACUUUAAGCAUCCUGUUAUUGCAUGUUUCCCACACUUAGUUGGUAACAUGUUUUCCGUGAAUGAUAUAUAUAAAUAGGUGGACGGUGGGCGGGAGUGAAUGAAUGAACGCUGGUAAAAGACGGAGAGUGAAUGAACGCUGGUAAAAGACGGAGGAAUGAAUGAACGCCGGUAACAGGCGGAGUUGUGAAUGAACGCCGGUAACAGGCGGAGUUGUGAAUGAACGCCGGAAACAGGCGGGAGUUAUGAAUGAACGCCGGUAACAGGCGGGAGUUAUGAAUGAAUGCGAGUAGUAAGCAGGAGUUGUGAAUGAAGGAGUUGUGAAUGAAUGAGUUGUGAAUGAAUGCCGGUAACAGGGCGGGCGUUCGCGACAUGUAACGCGAGUCUGCUGAAAAAUAAAGUGAAAGCUGAAAAGCCGAUAAACGCGUCUGGUGUCUCCGAGGUCUCGCCGGCGUUAACCUAUCCGGAAGGUGUACGCCUGCAUGGAUCCUGGUACCCAUUUUGUCCAAUGACCUGAAGAUCAUCCCAGCAGGCCUUCCUCCAGCUGUUGUGGAUCACACCAUGAUGUGUUCUGCUCCUCAGAGUCUGUGCAGACACACCAAUGUGGCAUGGAAACUAACACAGGCACACAAGCCCCAGCCAAGGAGAGACAAGGGCGUGGAAUGGCAUGAACUUCUCCUGAGGUUGAAAAACAGUCCUCAGAACUCCCCCAUUUCCUGUGGCACCAGCACAGGCACCGGGAAGACAUGGUAACAUUUUAACAGCUUGGUAAAAAAUGCUGCAGGCUGAGAAGUAGACUUGGUAACAAACCCCACCUGUGAAGCUUUCUUGAGCAACAUUCUAACAGAAAUCCAUCUCUUCUUUCCCAUGGCCAAGGUCACCAUGGGCAUUGACCACCUGGGAAUAUUUGUUAGAGGAUGAAAUGGAAUAAGAGAGAUACCAGUCUGAAUGACAUGGUGGUAUUUAACGUGAUUGGAAGGAGAGGUAAGGAAGAGGGAGUCAGGUGUUCCUGGGCCUCCUGCUGAACUCUCAGUGUGGUGAAGGGAGGGUGCAGAGGUGUGGAGUCGGAGACGGUGCCUUGUACUGAAGAGCUGUGGCAUGGUGUUACCAAGAUGAAGUACCAGACACGUAACUCAUGGAUUGGGAAGAGAGGGCAGAUUCGCUCCAAGGGCAACCCAACUUCUGUGUCAAGUGGCUAAGUUUUCUGUGCUUCUAGGGUAAACCCGGUACAGUCAAGUGUGCUUUGAAAAUCCAGGGUUCGUUAUGUUAGUUCAUGUUAACUCCUGGAACUAGGCUGCUAGGAAGCUGUUAACAAAAUUUCACUGAUGAUAAAUUUGGAUGACAUUACCUGGUAAGAUCUAUGAGAAUUUGGAGAAAGUAUUAACUUCAAGGCAAUGUAUUUUGGUUGCUAUUACUAAGGGAAAAGAGUGUUAAUUACCAACUGAAAACCCAUGAGAAUUUCCUUGGGAUUUUACAAAAAAUGAAUCCCAUGAACCUGUCACUAGACCUGCAGUGACAGUCAGUGCGUUGACAUUGAAAUCGAAUCAGAUCUGCACUGGGACUUAGUGGGAGGCAGAACGUGGAGUGUCAAGUGGAAAUUCAUUGAAUAUUGAUGCAAGAUAUGUUAGGUGGCACUGAUACAACAUUUAUUCAGGGUGCCAUUUUUGUCUGAUUUUCUAUAUGUGAAAUAAUACCUCCAGGGGCUUCUUGGGUUUGUUAAUAAGCCUGUUGUCAUGAGGCUGCUAGUUUCAGGGAAUCCUGAAAUCUUUGUGAAUUCUCCUACUUGGGGAGCAUAAACCUUUAAAACGCCCUGCCCAUCUGAACGCCUUGAUGGUGAACCUCAGAUGUGCCCCGUGUGGUUCCCGCUUAUAAGCAGUAGCAUAAAAAUGUGAGCAAAUCAACAUUGCCCUUCCAGGGAGUGCCCAGUGGACUUUCCAAGGAGGAGAGCAGAAUGUUGAAGAAACUGUGUCUACAAAUUCAGAACAUUCUGUCCACCUGACUUCACUGAGACCUCUCUCCCUUUCUCCACAUCUCCUGGGUGAGUGGUUCACCUGCCACACGUCUCAACAUUUCCGAUGCUCCUGCUCACACCUGUGUUCAGUUUCCUUCCUAUAAGAAGGUUAAAGGAACUGGGCCUAAAGCAAUUAGAAAGAGAAGAGGGAGAACCUUCAGCUCACAGCCUGGAAAACCUGGAGUCACCAGCUCAUCAUGCUCCCCUAAGGCAAAAGUAUUUCACUUCUCUUGGCCCUGGGCUGUUUUUCUUUAAAAUGGGGCAAAAGGUUGAGUUCUGUAGGAUUCCUGUAGUUCUUCCAUAAUAAAAUUCUUCACAUAUAUAUGAAAUUUAUACUCAUCAGACAUCAUACCUACCACCUUUGGAACAUUCCACAGGGGCGAGUGUUCGGGUCCAGCGGGUUGAGCUGGACAAUGCUGGCAUCCCACAUCAGAGCACCAGUUCAAGUCCCGGCUUCUCUGCUUCUGAUCCAGGUUCCCGCUAGCGCAUCUGGGAAAGGCAGAAGAAGAUGGCCAAAAUGCUUGGUCCCUGCUAUGCACGAGAGAGACCUGGAUAGAGUUCCCGGCUUCCACCUGGUCCAACCCCAGCUGUGCUGUAUUUAGGAAGCGAAUCAGCAGAAGGAAGACGUCUCUCUGUCUGUAACUCUGCCUUCAUCCCUAUGUUCCUAAAGUUGUACUUAGGAAAGAAAAAGUAAAAAAAAAAAUUUAAU